rnacentral:rRNA from 1 species
UACGUAGGGGGCGAGCGUUGUCCGGAUUCAUUGGGCGUAAAGCGCGCGUAGGCGGCUCGGAAAGUCGGGCGUGAAAGCCCCGGGCUCAACCUGGGAACCGCGCUUGAGACUGGCAUGCUCGAGUUCGGGAGAGGAUGGUGGAAUUCCCAGUGUAGAGGUGAAAUUCGUAGAUAUUGGGAAGAACACCGAUGGCGAAGGCAGCCAUCUGGACCGACACUGACGCUGAGGCGCGAAAGCGUGGGGAGCAAACAGG